AAGUAAAAAGACAUUAGUGAACGUCAACAACAACAAAAGAAAAGCAAAUGCUUAAACGUUCUGGUCAUCAAAUUCCCUUUUAGGUCAAGUUUAUAUUUAAGUCAAGUCACAUUAUAAAGCGCUUUUUUACAAUACAAUGGAGCGCCGCACAUGGCACGCAAGUAAAGAAAAGUAAAUUGUGCACACGAUUUACUAAUUUGUUCCCCGAUUUACUAAAUUGUGUGCACAAUUUACUAUUUUGUUCCCUCAAUUUGAUAAAUCGCAUGGAUGAUUUACUAUUUCGUUCCCUCGAUUUGCUAAAUUGCGCGGAAUAUUUACUAUUUCAUUUAAUCGCAAUAAACAGGCAUGUAAACACUUUGGCUGCAUCCGAAAUAGCACACUUCUUUCCUAUAUAGUAGGCGAAAAACAGGAUGUGACACAAGGAGUAUGUUCGAAUUUGAAGUACUGAUAAAACAGUACCCGGAUGACCUACUAUUUCCGGUCAGCAAAAAAAAAAAAAAAAAAUCCAAUACGUCCAUUGAAAUGUGUUAAAACAGUGGCCAGUAUGUUAGUUCAUCAUUUGUGCUGUUCAGAGGAGUAUAUGAAUAAUGGCGGUAAAAAUUAACCAGAAUUCUUAGAGAAUAAUCAGAAUAAUUGCUUGUAAGCGGGAGUGAAGUUUUGCUCGUGUCACAUAAACAUCUUACUCUGAUGAUUAUUGGAAAAAUCGCAUUUUCGGCAAGCACAGUCAAUGAUGCAAGCUUCAACAAAUAUUAGUCAAAUUCAAACUUUGCUCUAAAGCUGCUUGAAAAAGACAGUCAUGAUUCAGCUCGAGGCAGUUCCUUUUUGGUUCAUUAGUUCAACAGUUCUAUAAUUAUCCUUUAGUAUGGUAUUGCAAAUUCAUAGUUAUUGUGGUUACGCUGGACAAACUAGGUCAUGUGGUAACUGGAACACAGUAACUGGUUUGUUGUGGCCAGCCAGCUCUAACCAUCUUGACUGAGGUGGUGUACCAGAUCCACCAGACAGUCAAUGUACAAUCAAACCACCAGAAGCUAGUUUUAGCUGCAUAAAAGUUUGCUAGUGGUACCUUGGAUCACAUUCUCCAUGAUGAUGUUGAGCACCUCUUCUUCACCAAACUCUGAAGACUUUGGUUUGAUGUUCUUCAUCCUCUCCAGAGCAA